rnacentral:misc_RNA from 1 species
AGCCAUCCACUUGAAGCUUCACAAUCAUGUCAAACAAGGGUGUUUUACUAGUUGCUUCCCAUUGCAACUUAAAGUUCCAUCUUUCAAUAAUAUAACAUCACAUAUCAGCAUAUAGUGAUGUUAUAUUAUUCCUACUGUUUUUACGCAAAGCAUUAACAAGUCAAAGGUAUAAAUAGUUGGAUUAUACAAUCAACCCUUCAAAGAGUACUUUUUUCC